GUCAGCAGCAGAGAUCUGUGGCACGCCACCCCGCUGCCAAGCUGAUACCCAGAAAGCCACGGAGCAAUCUUCCUCUUUGUUUUACAAAUAGGUACAGCCUUUUGAAGCAGGAUCGGUUGUAACAUAUUUAUUGCAAGAAUGAAAGACAAAAACCAGAAGUCUUUGCCAAGAGCAAGUGAAAUGGGCAUGCCUUUCAAACAGCUACCACAGGACCGAUUACCUUUCCAAGUAAUUAAACAUUGUGAAAGGUUAUUAACGUGCUGAUAAUAGACAGCUUUGCAAACUGCCAGCACAGCACGAUCUAGCAGACGGCGCUCAGCAGAGAGCUGGAGCCCUCGCUCCCUGGGGGGCUUGGCAGAGCCCCAGCACCCCGAGAGCUGCAUGUAACUCAGUCAGGCCGGGCUGGACGCAGCCACCCCAGACCCACGUCUGAACGGUGGCAGGGCUCUCCCUUGCUGGCAGAGGAGCAGGGAAAGGUGGUCUCUGGGCAUCCUCCCAGUGCUCCCCCCAGGCAAAGCAGCAGGUGUCUGCCAAAGCCCGGGCCUGCCCAUGCAGGUUACCAACUAUUGUUUCUCUUCAAACCAACUUGCGUCCACAAACAACCUCUCCUGAUGUGAAUUCUCUGGUAUUUUAGCGUGUGUUAUUAAACCCGCUUGGAAAGCGGGCUGAGCUGUAGGGUGGGUUUGUGGCAACCAAGCAGGUGGGGAUGUAUGCGGGGAUGCAGAUAGGGAUGCAAGUAAGGAUGCGGGAUGCGGGAAGGAAUGCAGGUCGGGAUGCAGGCAGGGGUGUAAGAUGCAGGCGAGGAUACAGACAGGGGUGUAAGAUGCAGGCAGGGAUGCAGGAUGCAGGCAGGAUCGAGGAUGCAGGCAGGAUGCAGGUGGGACGCAGGCAGGAAUGCAGGACACGGGGAGGAUGCAGGCAGGAAUGUAGGAUGCAGGGAGGAAUGUAGGAUGCAGGCACGAUACAGGCAGGCAUGUGGGGUGGAGGCAGGACUCAGGAUGGAAGGGAAGGAGGAUGCAGGCAGGACGCAGGCAGCACAGAGCCGGUGCCUUUAGUGAGUGCUGCGGCUGCUGAGCCAAGGAGGAGUGGAGGGAAAGGGAGAGGCGACAAGAGUGUUUUGUCUGCAUCAACUCCUGGGCAGGGGGAAGGUGCGUGGGUAAACAGCGGUGCCGCUGACUCCAGCAUGGAGCUGCCUGACAGGGACAGCCCUUGUCCAAAGCAGCCACCUCCUGGUCAUCCCCUCAGACCACAGACGGAACAGCUCCGCUCUCCACAUUUCCAUACAUAGCAGCGAGGGGAAGAAGGCGACGGAAAAGCGCGGGUUGUGGUGGAAAGAUGGAAUAACAUCCUGGGCGAGAGCAUCCUUGGAACUCUCAGAGCUGCCUGGCACCAGGCGCGCUCAGGAUGUUUUGCUGCGCUCGGUGUUGUCGGUGUCACAACUCCGCAUCGCUUUAAAGGAACUUCAGCUGCCUUUGCACGUGGCUCGGGUGCACCCCGAGCUUCCAGGCCACCCCCUGCUCCCCACAACGCCGGGAGCCGGGCGGGAGGGUCACUAUGGGACCCCCUGACAAAGGGGCAUCCGAGGAAUACCGCACAGCGACAGUCUCCGCCUCCCGUCCCGGAGCUGUGCGGCGGGCUGACGGCCGCCGGAGGGCCAUCGUUGCCGCAGCACGCGGGGGAGCUCACGCGUUCCCGCCGUCGCUCUCACGUCGGGCCCCGGGGCCGCUCUCCGUUUGCCCGGGGUUGGGGCAGGGACGGGCCGGGCACAGGACAAGCCCUCGCUUGUUCCGUUGGGCGCGGGGAGCGCCGUUGCACAACGGAAUUCGUAUCUUACGUGUUUAGGGGACGGUGCGCGGCUGCGGCGGAACCCGCGGGUCGCCGAACGCCCGGUGCCGGUGGGCGCGCGGCGUUGGAGGGCGCUGCCCCUUUAAAUCGCGGCGGCGCGGAGCAGGGAAUCCCUCUCGCGGCGCGUCAUCCGCGGCGAGGAAACCCGCGCUGGCGUAGUGCGACGCAAAUGCCCAUUUUUGGCAACGUGCGCCAGUGGACGGCACCAAGAGGCUCCGGCCGGGCGGGGGGGGGGAGGAGGGAUUAACGGGAACCUACCGGCAGCCGGCGGGCGCGAGCCGGGGGCGAGCGAGGGGACAACGUGGGACGCGCGGGCCGC
ensembl:lncRNA